UACGGGGGGGGCAAGCGUUGUUCGGAAUUACUGGGCGUAAAGGGCUCGUAGGCGGCCAACUAAGUCCGACGUGAAAUCCCCAGGCUUAACCUGGGAACUGCGUCGGAUACUGGAUGGCUUGAAUCCGGGAGAGGGAUGCGGAAUUCCAGGUGUAGCGGUGAAAUGCGUAGAGAUCGGGAAGAACAUCGGUGGCGAAAGCGCUCUACUGGACCGCAACUGACACUCAGGGACGAAAGCUAGGGGAGCGAAUGGG
rnacentral:rRNA from 1 species